rfam:Schistosoma mattheei strain Denwood, Zambia genome assembly, scaffold: SMTD_scaffold0000180
AUCCAGCUGACGAGUCCCAGACAGGAUGAGACUCGCGUCCUGGAU